UUUGCUGGGUUAAGAAGUGUCUGGAUGGGGAUGGUGGUGACUGGUGCCACAUCCAGUUGGUGUCUGGUCUCUAGUCGUGUCCCCCAGGGAUCAGUGUUAGGGCCAGCCCUGUUCAGUAUCUUUAUAGAUAAUCUGGGCAAGGGGAUCAAGUGCACCCUCAGUGAGGUCACAGAGCACACUAAGUUGGGCAGGAGUGCUGAUGUGCUGGAGGGGAGGAAGGUGGAUCUGGACAGGCUGGAUCAAUGGGAUGCUCCUCUCACUGGGCUGAGCAGUCACAGCCCUGCCUUCCUGCUCCAAGGCCCUGCCCUUGUAGCUCCACACCCCAGGAGCACGUUUGAGCUGUGCUUCCCUGGGCUCCUGCUCUGCCAGGAACAACAACGACCACGCAGCCAAGCUGAAGAAUGGUUGGGAGUUGUAGCUUGGCGGGCUCAGUCACACAACACUUUGAGCUUCUUCAGGAGGGCUGGAACGGGCUCUCUGCUGAGGCACAAACAGGACUGAAAACUUGCUGGGCUAAAACUACCACGUGCGUUCAGCCUCCUGCCUUCCCUGACCUGUUUGUGGAUAACACUUUCUGAAGUUGUUUAUUUUUACGGGAGGCCCCAAAUUUAGCGUGUGUGUAUCAAACAAGCUCAGGAGUCAAAACACCAAAAGCUUCUUCCCAAAGCUGCAGCCACUUGAAAGGCUGCAGUCACUGAGCAGCUGAGUGAGGCUUUACCUUCGGCACAGGCUGGAGCUGGACACAAUUACAAGAGGCCACCUGCCCUGACCUGGUUGAGACAUGUACUUGAGCCCUGAGGCAGCCCUGGAAAGCUCAGAGACAGACUGCUACACCUCCUGCUGCUUUUUGGAUACCACCA